rnacentral:rRNA from 1 species
ACGCUCGACACCUACGGGAGGCAGCAGUGGGGAAUAUUGCACAAUGGGGGAAACCCUGAUGCAGCGACGCCGCGUGAGCGAAGAAGUAUUUCGGUAUGUAAAGCUCUAUCAGCAGGGAAGAAACUGACGGUACCUGACUAAGAAGCACCGGCUAAAUACGUGCCCGNAGCCGCGGUAAUCUGAGCGGGCGUGGCGAAGGCG